CGAGUUGGCCGGGCGGCCGCGGCGCCCACACGGGCGUCGAGGAAAGUCCGGACUUCACAGAGCAGGGUGAUUGCUAACGGCAAUCCGAGGUGACUCGCGGGAAAGUGCCACAGAAAACAGACCGCCAGCAAUGGUAAGGGUGAAACGGUGCGGUAAGAGCGCACCAGCAUCCCGGGUGACCGGGAUGGCUAGGCAAACCCCACCCGAAGCAAGGCCAAGAAGGCCGCAACCCGGUUGCGGCCGCGCAGGCGCCCGAGGGUUGCUCGCCCGAGCCUGCGGGUAGGCCGCUCGAGGUACCCGGCGACGGGCUACCCAGAUGGAUGGCCGCCGCCCCGCCGGCCAGAGAUGGCCGCGGGGAACAGAAUCCGGCUUACAGGCCAACUCGUUCG
rnacentral:RNase_P_RNA from 3 species